rnacentral:siRNA from 1 species
UCACGGGUUAACGUUUUUGGCGG